rnacentral:rRNA from 1 species
CGUAGGCAGCGAGCGUUGUUCGGAGUUACUGGGCGUAAAGGGUGCGUAGGCGGCCUAUUAAGUUUGUCGUGAAAUCUCCCGGCUCAACCGGGAGGGUGCGGCGGAUACUGAUGGGCUUGGAGUGCGGGAGAGGAGAGUGGAAUUCCUGGUGUAGCGGUGAAAUGCGUAGAUAUCAGGAGGAACACCCGCGGUGUAGACGGCUCUCUGGACCGUAACUGACGCUGAGGCACGAAAGCGUGGGUAGCAAACAGGAUUAGAUACCCUGGUAGUCCACGCCCUAAACGAUGCGCAUUUGGUGUGGGCAGUUCAUUCUGUCCGUGCCGGAGCUAACGCGUUAAAUGCGCCGCCUGGGGAGUACAGUCGCAAGGCUG